CGUAGAUGUGCUAUGGACGCCCCUUGGUGGUGAGCCGGUGUCGUCGUCUUGACCCUCUGGCGGUAGUUUGCUAGAAGAAACCCCCUCCACACACUUUGUGCUUCUCGAAUAAAUGCUAUGGAUUCUUCAAGAGGCGUGUAACCAUAAUCAAUUCCCUAAAGUUAGACAGCUGACCCCCAAUGGCUUCAUUUCACCAAGGUCAAGGACAAUUUGAGGGGAGUCCAACCAGUCCUGGUCCACAAGUGCUCGGGUGAGGCUGCUGGUCCUGUACUACAGCAGAGAGAGCGAGAGGAGGGACGUCAGCUGGCACCGCUCUGCAACCCCCCCCCAGCUGAUGCUGCAUUACCUCGACAACCGGCUCCGGGGUCACUGCCAGCUCUCUGCCCAGCACCCGGCCAGCCCCCCCGCCGACCUGAACCGGACCCGCCCCAAACCUGCACGGCCCCGCCCACAACUGGCAACCUGCAGGAGUCAUCAGGGCUGCGACAGAAAAGCCUAGUGAAGCCCGUAAACUCACCUCAUAAAGAUUUAUUUCCUGAGAUGGAGCGAUGAUUAGAAGAGAGAGAGGGAGCGAGAGAGAGAGGAGGGAAAGAUGACUCCACCACCCUGGGGGGAGGACGAGGUGAGAUGGAACCACUUCUCCGCUCAC
ensembl:lncRNA